rnacentral:lncRNA from 1 species
AAUCCUAUAGUUUUUAUUCUAUCAAAGGUGCAAAUGGUUCUUUUAAAGGAGUUGAAGGGAUGAAUCAUGAUAGUCCCAUUGUUAGGGGUGCGGACGUUGAUUCCCCUCCCCCAUAACGUCUCCUACAGAUAUGGAACCUACCGAGGUUGCCCAGAAUGAAUGGAUGACUCGUUGUAUCAUUAAAUAUUUUAAGGCGGAU